rnacentral:rRNA from 1 species
GAUGAACGCUGGCGGCGUGCCUAAUACAUGCAAGUCGAGCGAACAGACGAGGAGCUUGCUCCUCUGACGUUAGCGGCGGACGGUUUAGUAACACGUGGAUAACCUACCUAUAAGACUGGGAUAACUUCGGGAAACCGGAGCUAAUACCGGAUAAUAUAUUGAACCGCAUGGUUCAAUAGUGAAAGACGGUUUUGCUGUCACUUAUAGAUGGAUCCGCGCCGCAUUAGCUAGUUGGUAAGGUAACGGCUUACCAAGGCAACGAUGCGUAGCCGACCUGAGAGGGUGAUCGGCCACACUGGAACUGAGACACGGUACAGACUCCUACGGGAGGCAGCAGUAGGGAAUCUUCCGCAAUGGGCGAAAGCGGGACGGAGCAAAGCCGCGGGAGUGAUGAAGGUGUUAGGAUCGUAAAACUCUGUUAUUAGGGAAGAACAAAUGUGUAAGUAACUAUGAACGUCUUGACGGUACCUAAUCAGAAAGCCACGGCUAACUACGUG